GUGCUCGCUUUGGCUGCAUGGACACUAAAAUUAGAACUAUACAGAGAAGAUUAGCAUGACCCCUGCACAGGGUUGACACGCAAAUCUGUGAAGCAUUCCAUAUUUAA